GGCCUCUUGGUCUAGUGGUAUGAUUCACGCUUUGGGUUAAGCAACUCUGUUGUGUGAGGUCUCCGGUUCGAUCCCGGAAGGGGCCC